rnacentral:rRNA from 1 species
AUAUUGGACAAUGGGCGCAAGCCUGAUCCAGCCAUACCGCGUGGGUGAAGAAGGCCUUCGGGUUGUAAAGCCCUUUUGUUGGGAAAGAAAAGCAAUCGAUUAAUACUCGGUUGUUCUGACGGUACCCAAAGAAUAAGCACCGGCUAACUUCGUGCCAGCAGCCGCGGUAAUACGAAGGGUGCAAGCGUUACUCGGAAUUACUGGGCGUAAAGCGUGCGUAGGUAGUUGUUUAAGUCUGUUGUGAAAGCCCUGGGCUUAACCUGGGAAUUGCAGUGGAUACUGGGCAACUAGAGUGUGGUAGAGGGUAGUGGAAUUCCCGGUGUAGCAGUGAAAUGCGUAGAGAUCGGGAGGAACAUCCAUGGCGAAGGCAGCUACCUGGACCAACACUGACACUGAGGCACGAAAGCGUGGGGAGCAAAC